rnacentral:lncRNA from 1 species
UGAUAUCACAGUCACAUGUUUGAGGCUAUUAAUUUGGUAAAUUCAGCUGGUGUCAAGAUGGAAAACUCUGCAGUCAUUAUGACAAGUAUAGGUUUCAUCUUAUCUACUUAUGGAAGAUCCGCAGGGAAAGACUUUCAGUGAUGGACAAUGGUUGUUUGGAAGUAAAGACAUCAGAGGAAGAAGUGUUCCAGAAAUGUGGGGACAUUUACCACGAAAUACACGAUGAAGACCUGAAUAUGAAUAUGUCUCUCAGACCAACAGGACAGAGACCCCAACCCGACAGGCCGAGAUUAUCCAUUCCCCUUGAAGCAGUAACCAGUGCCGUAGACCAUGCCGGUUCCUUACCAGAGACCGGUGCGAGUGGACACUCGUCUGUCGGGUAUCUGACGCCUGAACAAACGCAAGACGUAGAACAGCCAAGAUACACGUCCUCUAGGACUGAUGAUGGUGUAUACCUUGAUGCUCGGCAGAGUAAUAACACUGAAUGGGUUGGUGAAACCUCGUUUACUGUCACACCUGAGGAAGCUGGUAAGAGGCACCUGGUUCAAGGACAUCCUUCUGCCGGGACAUUUAACCAUGUCAAGAUGUCAGCCACUUUGAGGAGUAAUAUCAGAACUAGAAGAUGUCGAACUAAGCACCUCUCCUGGGACUCUAGAACCCACCUGGAUAUUUGUGCUGUAGCUAAUGAUGAUCCGCAAACUACGAACAAGGAUAAAGCUGGUAACAGAGUGGUGAAAGUACGACCCCCAGUGUGUAAGAGAGCAGUGAUUAACCCACGUGGAUCGUGUGGAUUUUAGGGUGUACGUGGGUGCGAUUAUGAAGGAUUUGUAAAGUAUGUAACGCAUUCAUGGUUGAAAGUUACUUUCUGUCAAGCCUACCUAUGAUAACCAUUGUGUAUGCAUCUUAAGGUUUCUAAAUGUCAAUCAAUGCAGAGUUAUGGUAGGGCUGAGCAUAUAUAACAAUUGACAUGUUCACAGAAUGGCCGUUUAUCAAUGUGAAUGAUUAGUAUCAUUGGGAAUUCGAGAGAAUUAUCAUUAAUAAAGACAAAAACUGAUUAAAUUGUCAAACAUUCAUUCCUUAGCAUAGUGUUCAACCUUACACAAACUGUGUCAGCUUUUGUAGUUAAAAUUAAAUUUAUUGACUUCAGCUUAUUUCGGCAAAUUGAAAGAAAGUUAAUAUAAUGGGUCGUGUUUACGCUUUCAGCAGGUACAUGUAUAUCAUGGUUUGUGAAGUAAAGAUGAUUAAACUCUUAUAAGUCAUAAACUGGCUAGCUACUUUUGAAUUGCUUAACCGGAAGACAUUUCAGUAGAGAUAUUUCCUACAUCAAGAAAAUUCCCUUCCUGUUGCACACAUAUUCAAGUAUGCGGGCCAUUGUACAGUUAAUGUGUACAAGUGAUGAUUCAAAUACCAAAAUAAAACAUUUCUGGCUGCUAUUCUGAGAUUUCCAAAUCAAGCUAAACGCAAAAACAUAUAUAUAUAAUGCUUAAUAUAUUUCUAAAUGAUAAAGCCUUCGUGAUACUUUCAGGAAGAAUUGUCAUGACAUUAAUUGAUUCGAUUCUGUCUGAACCGUCCCCAAUACAUUGAAACGGAAAAAAAUGUGUGUGACUUGUAA